UAAAUUGAAAUAUGUAGAGAAGAAGUAAUAAUGGCAGUGUAGUUUCACAUGAUUUGAUGAACAAACUGCCUUUGCUGUGGCUCUUGUAGUGCUAAUCUGAAACUUGAUUUCCAUGAGAAAAAUUAUUUGGAAAUGCAUAUUGCUCUGAUAAUCAAACCCUAGAGAUCAUCUGACCACAUCUUGAGGAAACACCCACUACCUGUUUGGAUGAAUCUGAGUGGUUUUUUUUGCUUGCAGACACCACUAAAAAGAGGACUGAAAUCUCCAUGGUAAUGUCCUGGAGCUACCAGGGCAAAGACUGAUUUAUUUUAAAAUGUUGAAUGGAGCGGUUGAUCAAGCCUACAUUGGAUGGAGAAGACAAGCUGCCGUUUCGAACACCAAGGGGAAAGAGCCGGAGCAGGAGGCACCAUUCACAUUUAAAGCAAUGCUGGUUUUUGUCCUUCCCAAAGGAGAGAGUUAAUUAAAGCUAGCGCAGUUCUAUUAAGCACUGAGUUCAAUCCUGCAGGACACUGAGCAUCUCCAGGGAGGUGCUGUGCACCUUUGGUUUUCUUUGAGGACCGAGGUUCUCAGCACUUCCAGCUGGUAGCUUGCUGGGAAAAGGCAUUUUAAUUCUACUCACAUGCUGCUAAUUAAGUCACAACUUUUGUUAUUAACAAAACCUUGAUUCAUAAAAAUCAAACGCACAGCAAGUCUGAUUUUGACACAGAUCCUAUGUGUGUGUAAGUCAGUCUUCAAAUUAAACAACAGAUCCCUUUCAUGAAUUGCUUUCAUAACUCCCAUCUGGGUUACCGCAGGCUCCAAUUCAUAAUCACGCUUGCUUGCAUCCAUGUGCUUAUAAUUAAAACUGCUCAUUAAUGUAGCAAAAUUUAAAAAAAGAGAUAUGGUGCACAAUUAUUUACCUCUUGUCAGGAUUGCUUAAUAAUGCCUUUUCUUCUUCUUUGUAAGGAAAUUGGAAAUUUUUGCAGGGUUCAUCAACUUUUCCUGUGCCUCACAGAAAGCCUUGCUGAUAAGGAUGGUAAGAUUAUACUUCAGUAAUAUCAUUAAGGAAUAAUCUUAAUGGCUAUGUCAUAUGGGGAAUUAAAAACAUGCUUCUCAUUAUUGUUAGCAAAGAUUAUAUGCUUAUUUUCUCCUUUUGCACUUCGGAAAAUGUACCCUAUUUGAUACUUACAGUUAGAGUUAGUCAAAAUUUGGUCAGCUGCUAUAAGCUGGUUUCAGUGAAAAGAAAAAAGUUUGCUUUCAAAUGGUUUACUUUAUGAUUGAUUUAAACAGACCAAAACUACUUCAACUCAAAAAUAAGAGACUAGGGAAGGGGAAAGAGGGUGAGAAAGAGGGAAAAGAACCCAGGAAACCAAAAUCUCCACUUAAAAACAAACAAAAGUAAAGAGAUCAAUUUCUUUUGUCAAGAAAUCAAAAUAUUCGAUGUGGGAAAUGUCUCUUUCCAGUGGAAUAGCCGGGUCUCAGUCUGUUGUCUGCUUCCGUGUGAGAAUUUUCUUUUAUUGAGAUUGAAUAUUAUAUUGCGGGAAAUAUUCCCUGCUUAAAAUGAGAUGCAUGGGAGAAAAUGCUUAGUAUUUAUCAGCCAUACCUACUACAUAUGAGAGCCUACUGUAUAUGAGUGCUAAUUACCCUCGGGUUCUUAUUUUGCCUAAUACCCCAUAAACUCUUAUAACAUACAUCACUUCUUUUGCUAUUGAUCUCGUGGAGUUGUUGCGAGGAAGUUGUAUUGGACCAAAUCCCAUGCCCUAAACAGUGGGGACCAAGCUUUUUGGGAGGCAUUCUCCAAAUUAAGCCCCACAAGGUCCUUGAAUGCCAUGUUGAUCUACUUCCCCUGGCCUAUCUGUUGCUCUGCUUUCUGCUCCCUGUCCCCUCCCUGAUCUGCCAUAUGCCACAUCAGGAGGCUGUCCAUGCCCCAGGUUGGCCAUCCCUGGGUUAAACAGAUAACCUGUAUGUUUGACAGUUAUGGGUCAGAGAAGGGACCUGAUUCACACCAAGACAGAAAUACCUUCAACUUAUAAAUUAAUUUAUUUGGUUUCAAGUGUGGCUUUGAAUACUAUUGGAAUCCUGUUUUAUCAGACAUGAGGGUAUGCUUGGAGAGAAGCAUGGGUAUUUCUUAACUUAAAACAGCCAGCUGUUAUUAUGUAUGAUAAUUGUAUUAUUAUUAGAAUUGCUAAUAACAACAAUAGCAAUGAUAAUUGUUCGGUUAUUUGAGUAUAAUAGGAAGCGAAAUUAAAAUUAUAAAUGAAAACUGACUGGAGGGCUGGGGGGAGGAAACCAACAACUUUAUUCCAGGAUUGUCAAAGCAAAGUGAUACUUAAAAGAACAAUAUAUUUUACCAAUGUUGGAAGUCCCUCCCUGUUUUUUCCACAAUAAAGCUUUGCUGCAAUGAAA